CUGCGAUGAUGAGUCAAACUAGCUCACUAUGAUAACACAAUGAAAAGGAAUGAACUCCUGAGCAGU